rnacentral:tRNA from 1 species
GGGCUGGGGCUCAGUGGCAGAGCACUUGCCUGGCAUGUGUGAGGCCCUGGGUUCGAUCUUCAGCACCACA